rnacentral:tRNA from 1 species
GCGGACGUGGUGGAAUUGGCAGACACGCAAGACUUAGGAUCUUGUCCCGCAAGGGGUCCGGGUUCAAGUCCCGGCGUCCGCA